GAUGAACGCUGGCGGCGUGCCUAAUACAUGCAAGUAGAACGCUGAAGGAGGAGCUUGCUCUUCUGGAUGAGUUGCGAACGGGUGAGUAACGCGUAGGUAACCUGCCUGGUAGCGGGGGAUAACUAUUGGAAACGAUAGCUAAUACCGCAUGACAACAGUUAUUGCAUGAUAACUGUUUAAAAGGGGCAACUGCUCCACUACCAGAUGGACCUGCGUUGUAUUAGCUAGUUGGUGAGGUAACGGCUCACCAAGGCGACGAUACAUAGCCGACCUGAGAGGGUGAGCGGCCACACUGGGACUGAGACACGGCCCAGACUCCUACGGGAGGCAGCAGUAGGGAAUCUUCGGCAAUGGACGGAAGUCUGACCGAGCAACGCCGCGUGAGUGAAGAAGGGUUUCGGAUCGUAAAGCUCUGUUGUAAGAGAAGAACGAGUGUGAGAGUGGAAAGUUCACACUGUGACGGUAUCUUACCAGAAAGGGACGGCUAACUACGUG
rnacentral:rRNA from 1 species